rnacentral:lncRNA from 1 species
CCAGAGAGGGCACAUGUGCCUCAAUUGGCCUAUAGCAUAGCGACUCAUUAUCCUUCCACCGCUGGUGGCGGGCGGUACUCGCUGCUCUGUGAAGCCAACCUCACGCAAUGUCCGCCACUUUAGGUGUUGGGAUGCAAAGGCUUUCGCCAAGGCAUCCGAAACCCACUACACAACUUGGAAUGGGUGGUCCACAGUUUGUAGCACUAGACCCAGGCACAUGCACCACAAUUAACAUUCACACUACCUUAUUGCCCCCGCUCGGGUUACAAGCAAUCGCUACUUGCUCAGCGAGUGAGGGGGUUCAAGACUACCUAUUUAAGGUGGUGUUGUACUGUAUGAGCCGGCGGUGUGGUAUUUACCAACUACAAAUAGUGUCAUGCAUGUGACUUGCUAGUUGACAAUGUCUGUUGUCGAGCUAGAUGUGGGCUAUGGAUGAAGCACAUUAGGAUAUAGUAGGCCUAUUUUGUUUUUUGUUGUUUUUGGGACACUAUGGACUUUAUGUUGAUGUUGUGAAAUUUUUUCUUGUGUUUCCUUUUCCUACGAUGUGGAAAGUGGGUGCGUCAGAGAAGAAAGAAAGAGUGGCUAGCAUUGAUUUUACGUCAUACCGUUGAGAACACUAAUCAGAAGCAGAAGCAACAAUAUUUCAUACAUAUACAACACUUGUAAUCCAUAUAAACAACUUUCCUUUAAAAUAUAAGAUAAACCACAUGAUUUAUAUCCUGGGUCGGCUAUCUCCACAAAGGGCAAGAAAACGCUCCAAGUUUGUAGUAUAGAACUAAAAGUGUCGAUUCUCACGAUUUCUUCCCGACAUAUACAAACUAGACAGUAAUCACAUAAAAUAAAGAAAUAUGUGUUAACAAGAACUUAUACCAUGUAUUUCAACAUAUAGAUUGUUGAUUAUUAUGGUAGAUUAUAUAAAAUAGGGGUUCCCGAAGCAAUACAUAAAAACAAGAGCAUUAAAAUUUCCUUUUCAGAUUUGGCUAUCUGGUAAAAGGAGUUGGAGUAACUGAGUUUCCAAAUUUGUGCCGUAGCUCUAUAGAAGGAAUAUAAAUACGUUGGAAAAAUUCUAUAAGGAAAGGUUUAAUACAAGUAGGGCUAAGAAAAACUCAAUGAGGCUUUGGUCGCAUGGUCACAAAACUUGAGACAAGAAACACGAAGACACCAAGGUAAUUAGUAUGAGAGUUUUCCAAAUUUGGUGUCUUGAUGUAGAAAAAUAAAUAUAUGAAAAACUUGUUUUUUCGCAAGGCAUGGAUAAAUAAGUGGGGGUGAGCAAUAAAUUUCAUCCUUGAUUUAGAAGGAAUAAAUAUAUCACUAAAUACGUUUUUUCACAAUGCCAAGUUAAUCAGGUGGGACCGAGAAACAAUUCUAGCGAGGCUAGGUUGUACUAGCCCAAAACUACAUACUACAGAGGAAAAAUGAAGAAAAUGAUGGUCUACCAAAUAUGGCGCAUGAGCCUUAAGGUGCACCUAGAGGGAAGUAGAAGAAAUAAAUAUAUAAUAGCAUAUGUUUUUCGCAAUGCAAGGUAAAGUGUAGAUGUGCUCUAACUAGGCUUAGAUUGCAGCGACACAUUAUGCAUCUACAAGGCUUGGUUGCACAUGGAAAAAGAUAGAGAGAGAAAUGUAGACGCAGGACCGAGAGAAAAACAUUCAAUGAGACGUGAUUGCACGGACAUAGAACUAGAUAUAAGACAAGAGUUAAAGAAAAAUAAAGGAACUAAAUUUUCUUCUGCACACUAAGCAUGAAUGGAGUUGUAGUAUCUGAGAUCAAAAUUUAAUUUAUUCCAAGAUGCAGAACAAAAACGUGAUACUCGUAAUGGUUACAUAGGAACAAAAGUAGAUAAGAAAAAUAGCAAAAAGAUAGUGGUCUACCAGAGAGGGCACAUGUGCCUCAAUUGGCCUAUAGCAUAGCGACUCAUUAUCCUUCCACCGCUGGUGGCGGGCGGUACUCGCUGCUCUGUGAAGCCAGCCUCACGCAAUGUCCGCCACUUUAGGUGUUGGGAUGCAAAGGCUUUCGCCAAGGCAUCCGAAACCCACUACACAACUUGGAAUGGGUGUUCCACAAUUUGUAGCACUAGACCCAGGCACAUGCACCACAAUUGACAUCCACACUACCUUAUUGCCUCCGCUCGGGUUACAAGCAAUCGCUACUUGCUCAGCGAGUGAGGGGGUUCAAGACUACCUAUUUGAGGUGGUGUUGUACUCUAUGAGCCGGCGGUGUGGUAUUUACCAACUACAAAUAGUGUCAUGCAUGUGACUUGCUAGUUGACAAUGUCUGUUGUCGAGCUAGAUGUGGGCUAUGGAUGAAGCACAUUAGGAUAUAGUAGGCCUAUUUUGUUUUUUGUUGUUUUUGGGCCACUAUGGACUUUAUGUUGAUGUUGUGAAAUUUUUUCUUGUGUUUCCUCUUCAUACGAUGUGGAAAGUGGGUGCCGUCAGAGAAGAAAGAAAGAGCGGCUAGCAUUGAUUUUACGUCAUACCAUUGAGAACACUAAUUAGAAGCAGAAGCAACAAUAUUUCAUACAUAUACAACACUUGUAAUCCAUAUAAACAACAUUCCUUUAAAAUAUAAUAUAAACCACAUGAUUUAUAUCCUGGGUCAGCUAUCUCCACAAAGGGCAAGAAAACGCUCCAAGUUUGUAGUAUAGAACUAAAAGUGUCGAUUCUCACGAUUUCUUCCCGACAUAUACAAACUAGACAGUAAUCACAUAAAAUAAAGAAAUAUGUGUUAACACGAACUUAUAACAUGUAUUUCAACAUAUAGAUUGUUGAUUAUUAUGGUAGAUUAUAUAAAAUAGGGGUUCCCGAAGAAAUACAUAAAAACAAGAGCAUUAAAAUUUCCUUUUCAGAUCUGGCUAUCUGGUAAAAGGAGUUGGAGUAACUGAGUUUCCAAAUUUGUGACGUAGCUCUAUAGAAGGAAUAUAAAUACGUUGGAAAAAUUCUACAAGGAAAGGUUUAAUACAAGUAGGGCUAAGAAAAACUCAAUGAGGCUUUGGUCGCAUGGUCACAAAACUUGAGACAAGAAACACGAAGACACCAAGGUAAUUAGUAUGAGAGUUUUCCAAAUUUGGUGUCUUGAUGUAGAAAAAAUAAAUAUAUGACAAACUUGUUUUUUCGCAAGGCAUGGAUAAAUAAGUGGGGGCGAGCAAUAAAUUUCAUCCUAGAUUUAGAAGGAAUAAAUAUAUCACUAAAUACGUUUUUUCAUAAUGCCAAGUUAAUCAGGUGGGAGCGAGAAACAAUUCUAGCGAGGUUAGGUUGUACUAGCCCAAAACUACAUACAACAGAGGAAAAAUGAAGAAAAUGAUGGUCUACCAAAUAUGGCGCAUGAGCCUUAAGGUGCACGUAGAGGGAAGUAUAAGAAAUAAAUAUAUAAUAGCAUAUGUUUUUCGCAAUGCAAGGUAAAGUGUAGAUGUGCUCUAACUGGGCUUAGAUUGCAGCGACACAUUAUGCAUCUACAAGGCUUGGUUGCACAUGGAAAAAGAUAGAGAGAGAAAUGUAGACACAGGACCGGGAGAAAAACAUUCAAUGAGACAUGAUUGCACGGACAUAGAACUAGAUAUAAGACAAGAGUUAAAGAAAAAUAAAGGAACUAAAUUUUCUUCUACACACUCAGCAUGAAUGGAGUUGUAGUAUCUGAGAUCAAAAUUUAAUUUAUUCCAAGAUGCAGAACAAAAACGUGAUACUCGUAAUGGUUACAUAGGAACAAAAGUAGAUAAGAAAAAUAGCAAAAAGAUAGUGGUCUACCAGAGAGGGCACAUGUGCCUCAAUUGGCCUAUAGCAUAGCGACUCAUUAUCCUUCCACCGCUGGUGGCGGGCGGUACUCGCUGCUCUGUGAAGCCAGCCUCACGCAAUGUCCGCCACUUUAGGUGUUGGGAUGCAAAGGCUUUCGCCAAGGCAUCCGAAACCCACUACACAACUUGGAAUGGGUGUUCCACAGUUUGUAGCACUAGACCAUGGCACAUGCACCACAAUUGACAUCCACACUACCUUAUUGCCCCCGCUCGGGUUACAAGCAAUCACUACUUGCUCAUCAAGUGAGGGGGUUCAAGACUACCUAUUUAAGGUGGUGUUGUACUCUAUGAGCCGACGGUGUGGUAUUUACCAACUACAAAUAGUGUCAUGCAUGUGACUUGCUAGUUGACAAUGUCUGUUGUCGAGCUAGAUGUGGGCUAUGGAUGAAGCACAUUAGGAUAUAGUAGGCCUAUUUUGUUUUUUGUUGUUUUUGGGCCACUAUGGACUUUAUGUUGACGUUGUGAAAUUUUUUCUUGUGUUUCCUCUUCCUACGAUGUGGAAAGUGGGUGCCGUCAGAGAAGAAAGAAAGAGUGGCUAGCAUUGAUUUUACGUCAUACCAUUGAGAACACUAAUCAGAAGCAGAAGCAACAAUAUUUCAUACAUAUACAACACUUGUAAUCCAUAUAAACAACUUUCCUUUAAAAUAUAAUAUAAACCACAUGAUUUAUAUCCUGGGUCGGCUAUCUCCACAAAGGGCAAGAAAACGCUCCAAGUUUGUAGUAUAGAACUAAAAGUGUCGAUUCUCACGAUUUCUUCCCGACAUAUACAAACUAGACAGUAAUCACAUAAAAUAAAGAAAUAUGUGUUAACACGAACAUAUAGCAUGUAUUUCAACAUAUAGAUUGUUGAUUAUUAUGGUAGAUUAUAUAAAAUAGGGGUUCCCGAAGAAAUACAUAAAAACAAGAGCAUUGAAAUUUCCUUUUCAGAUCUGGCUAUCUGGUAAAAGGAGUUGGAGUAACUGAGUUUCCAAAUUUGUGACGUAGCUCUAUAGAAGGAAUAUAAAUACGUUGGAAAAAUUCUACAAGGAAAGGUUUAAUACAAGUAGGGCUAAGAAAAACUCAAUGAGGCUUUGGUCGCAUGGUCACAAAACUUGAGACAAGAAACACGAAGACACCAAGGUAAUUAGUAUGAGAGUUUUCCAAAUUUGGUGUCUUGAUGUAGAAAAAAUAAAUAUAUGACAAACUUGUUUUUUCGCAAGGCAUGGAUAAAUAAGUGGGGGCGAGCAAUAAAUUUCAUCCUAGAUUUAGAAGGAAUAAAUAUAUCACUAAAUACGUUUUUUCAUAAUGCCAAGUUAAUCAGGUGGGAGCGAGAAACAAUUCUAGCGAGGCUAGGUUGUACUAGCCCAAAACUACAUACAACAGAGGAAAAAUGAAGAAAAUGAUGGUCUACCAAAUAUGGCGCAUGAGCCUUAAGGUGCACCUAGAGGGAAGUAGAAGAAAUAAAUAUAUAAUAGCAUAUGUUUUUCGCAAUGCAAGGUAAAGUGUAGAUGUGCUCUAACUGGGCUUAGAUUGCAGCGACACAUUAUGCAUCUACAAGGCUUGGUUGCACAUGGAAAAAGAUAGAGAGAGAAAUGUAGACACAGGACCGGGAGAAAAACAUUCAAUGAGACAUGAUUGCACGGACAUAGAACUAGAUAUAAGACAAGAGUUAAAGAAAAAUAAAGGAACUAAAUUUUCUUCUGCACACUCAGCAUGAAUGGAGUUGUAGUAUCUGAGAUCAAAAUUUAAUUUAUUCCAAGAUGCAGAACAAAAACGUGAUACUCGUAAUGGUUACAUAGGAACAAAAGUAGAUAAGAAAAAUAGCAAAAAGAUAGUGGUCUACCAGAGAGGGCACAUGUGCCUCAAUUGGCCUAUAGCAUAGCGACUCAUUAUCCUUCCACCGCUGGUGGCGGGCGGUACUCGCUGCUCUGUGAAGCCAGCCUCACGCAAUGUCCGCCACUUUAGGUGUUGGGAUGCAAAGGCUUUCGCCAAGGCAUCCGAAACCCACUACACAACUUGGAAUGGGUGGUCCAAAGUUUGUAGCACUAGACCCAGGCACAUGCACCACAAUUGACAUCCACACUACCUUAUUGCCCCCGCUCGGGUUACAAGCAAUCGCUACU